UCUUCCUUGACUUAUCAAUAUGUUAGAUUGUGGCAUCUCUACUUUGAUUAUUAUCAAAGAUGACAAUCUUUAUAGAAAAUCUUCAUUGACUUAACAAUAUGCUAGAUUGUGGUGUCUCCAUCUUUGUCUUCUUCUCUAAUUUAUUUUUGUUUACGCCUCUUAAGGAUUCGAAUUCAAAACAAUCAUACUCUUUCCUUCCUGGAUAAGAUCGUAUCAUCUGGCAAGGUAUCAUCUUCCAAGGUAUCAUCUAGGAAGGUAUCAUCUGGGAAGAUAGCACCUGUCUUCAACGGCAACACUUUCCAUCAGAUGAAAAUAGUUGACAAGUGAAGAAACAUAAGCAGUUCAUGAAAGUAAAAGCAGAAAUUGGUUAUUUAAUGAUCUCAGUGCACCAUCACAAUCAAGGCCAUGAACCCCAAAUCAACAAACAUAGCUAAAAAGUUUAUUAUGAUGAUAAUGGUGGCAACAAAUGGGAGUGAUGGUGGAAAUGGCAGCAAAAAUGUCAUAUUUGGUGGCAUCAGAAUAUAUUUUAGUGACAUGUUUUGACAGAGUUAACAACACUGAUUGAAGCAGUCAGUUGUUAUGAAGACAGUCGUAGCAUUAGUCAAUGUUGACAAACAUACCUUAAACAGUCUUAGCAUCUCUUUCCAUUGCUCGGAUACAUUAUGAUGCAAGGGGAAAAAAAUCAUUUUACUAUUUGGAUAGUGAAUGGAGCGGAAUUAGUCAUUCUCUGUUACUAAAUUACCCUUGUCGUAAAAAUAUAAUAUGCAAUAGUAUAUUUUUCUCUUCUUCUUAACCACUUGUCUUCAUCAAAUUCUAGGAUGAAUAUGAAACCUAUUAAAGUAUUCUUAUUGGUGAAAAAACUAAUCCAUUAGAAGAGUUGGCUUUCAGAGAAAAUCAACUAUCAAUAAAUACACCAAA